GGCUGAUUGAUAUCCCCCUCAUAAUGCAC
rnacentral:piRNA from 1 species